AGUCGUCGCUUUCGGUUUUUAAUUUCCUUCCCCAUUUUUUUUCUUUACUUUUUUAUAAUGAGACAGGGGUCUCAUUAUGUUGCCCAGGCUGGUCUUGGACUCCUGAGCUCUAGCGAUCCUCCCGCCUCUGCCUCCCAAACUGUUGGGAUUACAGGCGUGAGCCACUGCGCCUGGCCUAUUUCUUUCCCUUUUUGUCUCCUUUCAAUUUUUUUUUUUAAACAAAAAGAGCAGUCUCUUUGAUCCAGAGCUUCACUGGAGGGUGAGGCUGUGGAUCCCAGGGUCCUGCGAGUGAGCGACUCAUUAUAUUCUACGCCUGGGCACCUCCCUCUCCCUACCCUAGUCCCGGCUCUUGAGGCUUCAACCAGGCGACAGCAGGAAGCAAGUUUAAUUUCACCCCCACCCCUACAAAUAUAGGUCCUUUUGCUGUUGCUUUCUACUUAUGGAAAUGGCCCUGGUUUCCUUUUGUUUCCUUUUGUGGUGGUGGCAUAAAAGUUCCUUCCCAAAUAAAUUCAUUUAAGUUUUUUUUUUUUUUUUAAAGGAAAAGCAAGUUGAUUGAAGGAAAAAUCUGUGGUCCGGGGAGAUGUUCCAAAUCCUGGAGGUGGAGAGGAAUGAAUGACGUUUGUGGCUUGCAGAUCAACUCCCCGCAGCGGGCGUGACGUUGUCACAGCCAAAAUUGUCCUCCACGCGCUGCUACGACAUACAGCUGCCCUCUGGACCUCACCCAGGGACACUGCUAUGAUCACUGAGCGAUUCACCAAUAUUCCAGCUCUUUCUCCCUCCAGGUACAAGAGACGAGAAGUCUUGCCAUGUUGCCCGGGUUGGUCUCCAACUCUUGGGCUCAAGACAUCCUCCUGCUUCAGGCUCCCUCAGUGCUGAGAUUUCAGCACACAGAGGAAAGGCCAUGUGAGGACACAGCAAGAAGGCGGCCAUCUGCAAGCCAAGAAGAGAGUCCUCACCAGGAACC
rnacentral:lncRNA from 1 species